AGAUGCUUCACUAUUAAAAUAUUUUUUCCCCCCAAGGCUCAAAUAUUGAAGAGUCUCAAACCAGGGACACCAGCAGCCCCAGCGAAGACCUCGGGCGAUUUCAAAGUGGGGGCACCUCAAUUCCCCGAAUCUGUGGUGUGGCCGGUAUCGGUGUUCCCCCGAUUUAACUAGCCUGUUUGAAGGUGCAAAUCAUUCAUGGAGAAGUACAACUGAAACCAGUCCUCCCCGCCCCCCACAAGGGUCUUCGCUUUCCCAGUCUACAUCUCUGCCUGUGACUCCAGAAAGACAAACUUCAGAUUGACCAAG